UACAGGGGUGCAAACGUUGCUCGGAAUUAUUGGGCGUAAAGAGCUCGUAGGCGGUUUGUUGCGUCGGCUGUGAAAUCCCGAGGCUCAACCUCGGGUCUGCAGUCGAUACGAGCAAACUAGAGUGUUGCAGGGGAGACUGGAAUUCCUGGUGUAGCGGUGAAAUGCGCAGAUAUCAGGAGGAACACCGGUGGCGAAGGCGGGUCUCUGGGCAACAACUGACGCUGAGGAGCGAAAGCGUGGGGAGCGAACAGG
rnacentral:rRNA from 1 species